UUUUCAUAUGAGUCCAACAAGCAAUGAAGACCUCAGGAAAAUCCCGGACAGCAACCCCUUUGAUGCCACUGCAGGGUAUCGUAGUCUGACCUAUGAAGAGGUUCUACAGGAGCUGGUGAAACACAAAGAACUCCUUAGGAGGAAAGACACCCACAUCCGGGAACUCGAGGACUACAUCGACAACCUCCUUCAACUCCCUCACCACCACGCCUCCCUGCCUACCAUCCCCGGAAGGGUGCUUAUUCUUUAACAAAGAGAAUCUAAAAAAAAAAA
rnacentral:sRNA from 1 species